rnacentral:ncRNA from 1 species
UAAGCUUUGCCACCGGGUAAAGUUUUCAGGGCGUUCUGAAACAUUCCGUUAGGUCUUAGAAGGGAUGUUUAAGGACGCCUUUUUGAU